rnacentral:misc_RNA from 2 species
AACGCACAUUGCGCCUCUCGGUAUUCCGGGAGGCACGCCUGUUCGAGCGCCAUUACACACUCCAAGCUUGGCUUGAUGUUGGACGAUGCGGACUCCGUUUGGGGGGCUGCAGGUCUUGAACGUGUGGGCGUUUGCCGGCGAACCACGAGCGUAGCAAGACGUGAGUCAUAUCGCUUUGUGGGAUCGACGGUGAGCUGCCGAUAGACAAAACUUUUGAAGUUUGGCCUCGGAUCAGGCGGGGAUACCCGCUGAACUUAA